GUGAGGAAUAUUGCGCAAUGGAGGCAACUCUGACGCAGCCAUGCCGCGUGCAGGAAGAAGGCGCUACGCGUUGUAAACUGCUUUUAACCGGGAAGAAACCCCAGGACGUGUCCUGGGUUGACGGUACCGGAGGAAUAAGCACCGGCUAACUUCGUGCCAGCAGCCGCGGGAAUACGAAGGGUGCAAGCGUUAUCCGGAUUCAUUGGGUUUAAAGGGUGCGUAGGCGGAGCGUUAAGUCAGUGGUGAAAUCCUGCAGCUUAACUGUAGACUUGCCAUUGAGACUGGCGCUCUUGAGUGCGCUUGAAGUGGGCGGAAUGUGCCGUGUAGCGGUGAAAUGCUUAGAUAUGGCACAGAACACCAAUUGCGAAGGCAGCUCACUAAGGCGAUACUGACGCUGAGGCACGAAAGCGUGGGGAUCGAACAGGAUUAGAUACCCCAGUAGUCC
rnacentral:rRNA from 1 species